rnacentral:rRNA from 1 species
CGGCGGACGGGUGAGUAACACGUGGAUAACCUACCUAUAAGACUGGGAUAACUUCGGGAAACCGGAGCUAAUACCGGAUAAUAUUUUGAACCGCAUGGUUCAAAAGUAAAAGACGGUCUUGCUGUCACUUAUAGAUGGAUCCGUGCUGCAUUAGCUAGUUGGUAAGGUAACGGCUUACCAAGGCAACGAUGCAUAGCCGACCUGAGAGGGUGAUCGGCCACACUGGAACUGAGACACGGCCCAG